rnacentral:rRNA from 1 species
UACGGAGGGUGCGAGCGUUGUCCGGAAUCCCUGGGCGUAAAGGGCGCGUAGGCGGCCUGAUAAGUAGGGGGUGAAAUCCUGCGGCUUAACCGCAGGGCUGCCUUCUAAACUGUCAGGCUUGAGCACAGUAGAGGCAGGUGGAAUUCCCGGUGUAGCGGUGGAAUGCGUAGAGAUCGGGAAGAACAUCAGUGGCGAAGGCGGCCUGCUGGGCUGUUGCUGACGCUGAGGCGCGACAGCGUGGGGAGCGAACGGG